AGCGAACGCUGGCGGCAGGCCUAACACAUGCAAGUCGAACGGAUCCUUCGGGAUUAGUUUCGGAAGGGUGAGUAACACGUGGGAACGUGCCCUUUGGUUCGGAACAACUCAGGGAAACUUGAGCUAAUACCGGAUGUGCCCUUCGGGGGAAAGAUUUAUCGCCAUUGGAGCGGCCCGCGUCUGAUUAGCUAGUUGGUGAGGUAACGGCCCACCAAGGCGACGAUCAGUAGCUGGUCUGAGAGGAUGAUCAGCCACACUGGGACUGAGACACGGCCCAGACUCCUACGGGAGGAAGCAGUGGGGAAUCUUGCGGAAGGGGCGAAAGCCUGACGCAGCCAUGCCGCGUGAAUGAUGAAGGUCUUAGGAUUGUAAAAUUCUUUCAGCGGGGACGAUAAUGACGGUACCCGCAGAAGAAGCUCCGGCUAACUUCGUG
rnacentral:rRNA from 1 species